rnacentral:rRNA from 1 species
UACGGGGGGGGCAAGCGUUGUUCGGAAUUACUGGGCGUAAAGGGUUCGUAGGUGGCCAACUAAGUCAGACGUGAAAUCCCUCAGCUUAACUGGGGAACUGCGUCUGAGACUGGAUGGCUUGAGUGCAGGAGAGGAACGCGGAAUUCCAGGUGUAGCGGUGAAAUGCGCAGAUAUCAGGAGGAACACCGGUGGCGAAGGCGGGUCUCUGGGCCGAUACUGACGCUGAGGAGCGAAAGCGUGGGGAGCGAACAGG